GCCCGGGCGGACCCACUGUGCGCCCAUGCGGACCCACUGCUGCUGCGGAAGCGUCUGGGGCACGUGCCUGGACCUGUCGGGGUUUUCCUGCUGGCCAGAUACGAGAUUGCAGAUGUGAGCGGAGAGAUCAGACUCCUGGUGGGCCUCAGCCAAUCAAUUGACCCUCCGUGGAAUAAAAAAGAAUUCAUACUGCCUGACUGCCUUUGAACUGGGACAUCAGCUUCUUCCUGGGUCUCCAGCCUACUGGCCUCUGGACUAGUAUACCAUCAGCUCACCUGGUUCUCAAGCCCUCAAACUUAGAUUGGAACUAAGUCAUUGGCUCUCCUGGGUCUCCAGCUUGCCAACCCACUCUGCAGAUCUUGGGACUUGUCAGCUUCCAUAAUUGCCUGAGCCAGUUCCCUACAGAUGAAUGAAUACAUGAAUAAAUAAAUAAACAAACAUUC